ACAUGCAACCAUUCGAAACCGGGAGAGGACGCGGUUGGUAAUAGACACGAGAUAGCUUACAAUAAUAGAUACAUUGAUCAAAUUUGAAAUGAAAAAUGUUGUCUACAUUAAAUGUCUUUAGCGUAGGAUAUAUCCACAACUCUCAUUAAUUUAAAGUUAAUGCCGAUUGUAUAAGCCUACUGUUGGUUUUGUUUACUAUGCUGAAUAAUUAUUGCAGUAAGGUGUCUUUUCUGAGCACCUGGCACUUCAUUAAUACAUGCAUAGAAAUAUAACGACUAGAACUGACAACUUGGAGGGGCGAGAGGGUUGGAGGAUGGAAAUGGCGGCUAGUACUGCAGACGAAAUGGAGAAAAGGUCCCAGGUCCCAAGAAUCUUUUUAUUCUCACUCAACAGCUUCAUCAUCACUCAAGGCCACAAUGGACCAGAAUAUUGCACCUUGCUGGAUCUUGACUAAUCUGAGUGCAGAGUACUGGUGCACACGGAAGGCAUCGCUUAAGAAAAUCUCAAGGAAGGACACUGCGGCACUCUCUUGGACUGGCUGGAUCAGCAGUAGGGGACACAGAGACCACAGGAAGUAGAAGCGGGCCCCGAAACCAGACUUUAUCUAACAAUUUCUUUAUCCACUAAACUCCCCCGUUCAUUCCAUGCCUCUCCUUGUGCUGCGACCACAAACAAAUCGUAAAUUUUGUUGCAUUUUUUUGUCAUCUCUCAUUGUGAGUUAAACUUAGUCUGUUGUUGAUGCUAAUCAUUUCAAUCUGUUCAAAAUGAGGCUGAACAGAAAGGUUGAGGUUUAUUUAAAAAGUGUUUUAGGUGUCAAUAUGACAAAACGCAAUAGAAAAAAAAUUGAAAAAAAAUUGCAUUGGGGUGAUGCUUGGUAUGUUGUAUGUUGGAAUGUGAGCUCAAAUGCUGUAUAUUGUACUGUAUGUUGAAGGAUAUGACAAUAUCCUGUGGCUUUAGAGGGCUAGAGAUGUUUUUGUGUAGCGUUAUCUUCGGAGGGGAAUGUUCUGGCAGAAUAACUCAUGUUGGCGUUGAUGUUGAUAUUAUUUGCUCUUCCAGAUCACUGUCUUUCAUAACAAAUCACAAGUGAACACAAAUGUUUUUGUUUGUUUGUUUUUUUGGUGCCUUUUCUUCCUGCCGCCAAACCAACCCAGACAAAGCCACUGGUCCAAUCACUUUGUGAAGCACCAAUCGUGCUCAAUGAUCCAUGCUGCCAGUCUCUUAGUUGAUGAGGGCUGGACUAGAUUAAUUGACUAUCUGUCCAUUUCAAGGGAAACCUAUCCCUCCCCAUCAAUAUCAGCAUUUAGACCAGAUAGUGAAAACAAAGCUGAAGCUCUUUUCUCAGAUAUCGGGUCAAUGCCCUUCAUUACGCAAGUGUACACUUACCCUAACCCUAACCAAGUGCAUUCGGAAAGGAUUCAGACUCCUUGACUUUUUCCACAUUUUGUUACGUUACAUCCUUAUUAUAAAAUGUAUUACGUUUGUGUUUUUCCUUCAGUCUACACAAAAUACCCUAUAAUGACAAAGCAAACACAGUUUUUUUUAUUUAAAAAAACAAUUUAAAAAAAUGGAAAUAUCGCAUUUCUAUAAGUAUUCAUACCCUUUAUUCAGUACUUUGUUGAAGCACCUUUGGCAGUGAUUACAGACCAAAAAGGUGCUUCAACAAAGUCUCCCUGACCAGGGCCCUUCUCCCCCGAUUGCUCUGUUUGGCCGGGCGUUGGCCGGGCGGGUAGCUCUAGGAAGUGUGUUGGUGGUUCCAAACUUCUUCCAUUUAAGAAUGAUGGAGGCCACUGUGUUCUUGGAGACCUUAAAUUGCAUACAUUUUUUUGGUACUCUU